rnacentral:lncRNA from 1 species
AUGGAAGGAUUUGGACAAGCCUUUGUUGUAUCGGAGGAACAAAAGCUUGAUUGGGCUGACCUUUUCUCCAUGAUGACUCUUCCAGUUCAUCUGAGGAAACCACAUUUAUUUCCUAAGCUCCCUCCUUCCCUCAGGUUCUCUCUCUCUCUCUCUCUGUGUCAAUGUCAUUUUGAUUUGCAAACAAAUAAAGGAUAGUGCAUCUUCUUUUCCUGUAGAGAGACCUUGGAAGUUUACUCAAUGGAAUUAAAAACCCUAGCCGAGAACCUAAUAUCGAAAAUGGGAGAAGUGUUAAAUAUCAAAGAUGAAGAAAUGAUAGAAUUCUUUGAAAAUGGACUGCAAGGAAUGAGGAUGAAUUAUUACCCUCCAUGUCCUCAGCCCGAGAAGGUUAUGGGCCUGUCGCCGCAUUCUGAUGCAGCUGCACUUACCAUUCUGCUACAACUUAAUGAAGUGGAGGGUCUCCAGGUAAAGAAGGAUGGAAAGUGGAUUCCUGUUACCCCACUCCCGGAUGCUUUCAUUGUCAACAUUGGAGACACAUUGGAGGUAAUAAUUAUAAUAAAUUACCUUAACCUGGCAUUUUUAUGCGCUUGCUUAUGUGCUUUAAUAAUUUUUACAUGGCAGAUUAUAACCAAUGGGACAUACCGCAGCAUUGAGCAUCGUGCAGUUGUAAACUCUGUACAGGAAAGACUUUCCGUUGCCACAGUUUACUCAGUGAGAUAUGAUGGUGAAGUGUAUCCUGCCUCCAGUUUGAUCUCUGAAAAAACUCCUCCUUUGUUUAGAAGAGUGAGAAUUGAAGAAUACUUUAGGAGCCGGUAUGCUCGUGAGCUUAGGGGAAAAUCUCAGUUGGAUUCCCUGAGAAUUCAACAUGGUCAAGGCUAGUAUAAGUUUAUUUUGGAUAACUAAAGAGUUUGGUACAAAAACUCUUAAGGACCUUGCUAUUAAGAUUGGCGUGGAACUGAAAAUAAGAAAUAAGUUCUAUGAAUACUGUGGUAUAACCUGCUAUGCUAGGGUCGUUGUGUAGCUCUAUCAUUUGAGAUACUGAAUAGACCAUGUAAGAAUCUUAAGAAUUGCAGACUUAUGCCUGGAAUCUUCCGAUGAUAUAUGGUGGUGCUUAUAUCAGAUCAGUAUCUUUCUUUCUUGAAAUAGAAUUUUUGCAUACCUGACUUGUUUUUAAUGAGAUUUCAAGGACUAUAUGACUUGGUUUCAAAUUUUUAUGAUACAUACAGAUAAUAUUACCACAGAACCAGUGUAGUUUCUGUAUCAGCCGUUAUAGUUUUCAGUUAAUAGUAACAAGUUUUUGAUUUUUAACAAGAAUGUUGUCCUUCCACGUCUUAAAUAUUCCGUUCCAUAACACACAUUGUGACGAAUACAUAACUUGUUACCAUUGACGAAAAAUUUUGCCAUCAAUAGCUGAAAAUAGAUGUUAGUUACACAAGCUGCAAAGCUAUAACUUUGGAUUUCAUAUUCAGAUUGUCCCUCUCAAAGUUGAACUUGGAACUACGGUUGAUGAUCUGCUAUUAUGCUGAGAAAAAUACAAGAUUUUUUUUUUGGUUGUCAUCAGACAAUGUAAAAGAAAUUAGCAUGGGAUCCAAAUUCUUGAGAGUUUGAUAAGGCAAUGCACUAUAUUUUUUUAUAACUCGCAGCAGACAGCAGCACAACAGCAGACUGCAACUGUCAUAUUCACAAAAUAUCUAUGGGCCAACCCUAGACCCGCAAUGGUGGAUUAGUCUCACACAAGGCCACAGCAAAUAAUGACUUGUAGAAAAUAAUACAUUUUCAACAUUUGCUUUGUCAAUAAAAAUCUGUAGCAUUAUUGUUGAGAGAAUUUGUGCAACAAAAAGAAGGCCAAGUUCGGAGGUUCUCUGCCUGUGCCUUGUGUUCAAGAGUUGGCCAAGAAUCCUAUGUUAGCUAUCCCCCCAGGUACAUACCACCACGCUAAGAUUUAACCACAAUUUCUGAUAAUAAUUUGGAUUCACGGGUAUUGCAGAGCUUGUUUUCUGAAGAGUCAAUGGAUUCUGAGUUGUCCAGGCUCCACUUCGCUAGCAAAGAAUGGGCUUCUUUCCAGGUAAAGUCCUUUGCCAAGUUAUUAUUAUUUUGCUUUUAAAGGAUUUGCUUGGGAUGAGACCUCAUCUACUAAAUACCACCCUUUGUCCCAUAUUGUUACUCGAGCGCAGAUAUCUGCAAAUUGCGAAUUACAUUCACAACCAGCUAAGCUACACCUGCCGUGAGGCACCCAAGUUUGUACUUUUUCAUUUGGACAUGCUUGGUUUGUUAAUAGUAGUCUGGGGUCAAGAAUUAAGAAAUCUGUAUACUCUCAAUCAAAGAGCACAGUCGAUCAAAUUCAGAUUAGAUUAUGUUCCAUUCUUAUAGGUCAAGUAGGCCACAAAUUUGGCCUACUCUGUAUCAAUGCUUUCUUACACUGUAAGUUAGCAAUAAGAAAGCUGUAACAAAAUUUGAGUCUACGUAGUCUUAACCAAGCCGGUUUAAGCACUCUUUUUUUUAAAAAAAAAAACAUUGAGGGAUGUAACUGACCUUGUCCGAUUAUGGACCCAUCUAACUUGCUUUCUUGUAUGGCUGAGAAGAAAAACCUGCAUUCUUGAAAAUUAAAUUGUCUUUAAUAUCUUUCAGAUGUCUAGGCUUGCGGUAGCUUGAGAAGAACUAUAAGCAAAUUUAUGAUGGAGUAUAAUGCAAAUGCGAUUCUAUUAGUUUAUUGAAAUCUAACAAAUACUUUUAUUCAUCGCACUCAGUAAAUUUUGCCUGAAUUAGUCCAAUAAGUUGUACUCUGUCUCAGCAAAAUACCUUGACCAAAAUAAAAAACGUAGUGACACGAUUGUUAAUGUCUUAGCUGUUUUUCUGUUUCUGAAUUGUUUCAGCUGGUAAAUCAUGGAGUGAGCCCUGCAUUUCUAGAGAACGUAAAGAAAGAGAUUCCGGAAUUCUUCAAUCUAAGCAUGAAAAAAAAAAAAUUGGCGGUCUCCAGGAGCUGUGGAAGGAUUUGGACAAGCAUUUGUUGUAUCCGAGGAACAAAAGCUUGAUUGGAAUAACAUUUUCUUCAUGACAACUCUUCCAGUUCAUCUGAGGAAACCCCACUUGUUUCCUAAGCUCCCUCUUUUCCCCCUCAAGUUUCUCUCUCUCUAGGCAGUUAUUUGAUGAUUGCAAAUGUAUUAUGUUCAGAGAAAGAUCCCAAGUCAGUUAUAUUUAGCAAAAUUUGACAACCAAACAUGAUUUUGAAAGAAUACUGCUAAAUAAUAACUUAUUUAACAAUCCACCACAAUCAUGUACUAAACCUUCUAAUUGCGUCUUCUUUUUUCUUGUAGGAAAUUUUGGAAUUUAUUCAGUGGAGUUAAAAAUCUUUGGCCAUGAACCUGGUAUCGAAAAUGGGAAAAGUUUUAAAUAUCAAAGACGAAGAAUUGAGAGAAUACUUUGAAAAUGGUUUCCAAUCAAUGGGGAUGAACUAUUACCCUCCAUGUCCUUAGCCGGAGAAGGUUGUGGGCCUCACAACUCAUUGUGAUGACUCUGCUCUUACCAUUCUGCUGGAAAUCAAUGAAGUAGAAGGCCUCCAGAUCAAGAAGGAUGGAAAGUGGAUUCCUGUUACACCUUUCCCAAAUGCUUUCGUUGUCAACAUUGGAUAUGUGUUGGAGGUAAUUAUUAUGAUAAGUUAUUUUAACUUGACAUUCAUAUGAGCUAGCUAAUGUGUGCUUUCAUUAAUUCAUGUUGCUCCACUUCCUAAUGCUUUCAUUGGAGACACAUUGGAGGUAAUAAUUAUAGUAAAUUACUUAACUUGGCAUUUAUAUGCGCAUGCUCAUGUGCUUUAAUAAUUUUUACAUGGCAGAUUAUAACCAAUGGGACAUACCGUAGCAUUGAGCAUCAUGUAAUUGUAAACUCUGUACAAGGAAGACUUUCCAUUGGCACAGUUUACUCAGUGAGGUAUGAUGGUGAAAUGUACCCUGCGUCCAAUUUGGUCUCUGAAAAUACUCCUUCAUUGUUUAAAAGAGUGAAAGUUGAAGAAUAAUUUCAGGAAUCUGUGUGCUCGUAAGCUUAGGGGAAAAUCUCAUCUGGAUGCCUUGAGAAUUGAACAUGUUCAAGAUUAUUAUAAGUUUAUUUUGGAUAACUAAAGAGUGUAGUACAAAAACCGUGGGGGACCUUGCUAUUACAAUUGUGUGUGGAACUAAAAAUAAGAAAUAAGUGUAAGAACAAUAAAUCCUUUGGUGAAAAUCAUCACCUCAAUUUAGGAACAUGUAUGUUGUAUCACCAAAAAUUAAUAAUAGAAUAUGCGGCAGUGUACCUAAGUUCAUAAUGCACAAUUGCUCUUUAGAGCCGAGUAGUUUGUCUUCCAAAUAAACAUGUUCUCCUAAAGAAUUCUUUAAACUUCUCUAUACUGUCUCUUUAAUGAUGAGAUGUCAAUAGAGAAUAGAACAAUACGUGUGACCUAUGGAUAAUAACUACUUAUAUAUAUAGAUUUUCCUUUUGUUUUUAGGUAUUCUUAUUUCAACCCAUUAUAAAAAUCAAAAUUAGUCUUAAGUCUCUAUACAUUAAAGGCCCACAAUCUAUUAGAUACAUUAAAACCCAAAUUACCGAAAACCUUAAUAGACCAAUUUUAAUUUGGCUUAGAGUUAGACUAUUGGCACCCCUCCAAAAUUCUUCUAAAACCCCUUUUUCAAUAAUGCUAAGCUUAAUGCCAAAAAUACCCUUAUUUCUAAAUAAACACAUUUAAUUUGUGAAUCUUUUAAUUUUUAUUAUUUUCUCGCUCCUCACAAACAAAAUUUUAUGGGUGAUAAGUUUCUUGAUAAAAAUCAAUUAAUAAAAUAAAAUAUCUGUAAGAUUAUAAUGUAAAAAGUUUUAUUAUGAGCCUUAAAAAAAGGUAGAUAAUUUUUUCAAAAUGUGUUUUGUUUAUUAUCAAUAGAUUGUCUUAGUAAUUGAAGAAAAAUUUACAGAGAAUUUGAGAAAAAAAUUACAUGUGUGAGUUUGAUGGCAGAGAAAAUACAAGAGCUUUUUUUUUAAGAGAGAAAAUACAAAAGUUUGAAGUGAGAUAAAAUAGAUGUGAGAUAUAUUAGAGUAUUUGUCCUUAAAUGUAAUUGUAAUAGAAGAGGAAGUUUAAAAGGAUUUUGAAGGGGUGUCAAUAGUCCAACUCUUUGGCUUAAUCUUAUAUGACAAUUCACAUCAUAUAAUUAUUCACAUAUAAGCGCAACAUUGGAUCAAGGAUCCAACCAUACCAGAUUAAAGAUCCAACAACCUUUCACUUGGACUAUAUAUAUAACUUUGUAAUUAUACUUUACAAAAAUAACUAUAUGAGGUCAACUUUACUGUCAUUACCAAAAUGCAUCUAUAGCCAAUUCGGUCCAUCUAUCAUACCAACAUAGGAUCAAAAUGACCUUUAUUACAAAUAUCGUAACUUGACCCAUCAAUGCUCACUAUGCCAGCAUAACUUAAUGACAUAGAUCAUGAUAUGGUGUAGGAUGGAAAUUUUAUGUAAUGUGAUUUCAACAUGCCUAUUUUCAAUUGAUCCACCUUAAACAUUAGUGAGAUCAAAUUAUACAAAAUUAGAGUGUAAAUAAACCAAAAUUUUAUUUCUGUAGAAAAUAGCCUUAAAUAUCCCCAAACCGAAAAAUGUUUAUAUCAUAAAAGCAUUUAAAAGUUACAAACUCCCAUUAAAAAUGAAUAUCAAUAUCCUUUAAUGACAUGACACCCAUAUGAACAAUGUGCUCAUGAAACAUUUUAAAUGACAUUCCCUUAGUAAACGGAUCUGUAAUCAUGGAGUUUGUACCAUUAUACUUUAUAGACAAUUGUCCACUCUGAAUUCCUUAGGAACUUGAUGUCUAUAUACUGUGACAUCGUUGAGCUCUUAUUGUUAUUGGAAUAUAGCACUGCUGACUUAUUGUCACCAAAUAACUUAAGUGGUCUAUCAUAAGGGUGUCAAAAAAGCCUGCCCGGACCGGACCCGGCCCCCGGACCGCAUGCACAUAAAAACCGGACCCAGGUUUGAAAUUCUCAAACCCGGACAUUUCCGGGCCCGGGUCCGGGUUCAACACCAAAAACCCGGAACCCGGACCGGACCCGGUUUUUUAAUAAAUUUUUUUAAAAAAUAUAUAAAUAUAUAAUUAUGAAUUUAUGAUAUGUUGGAUGUUAUUUAAAUUUAUUGUGUGAUUAUUGUGUUGUUGAAUUUAAUUUAUUUAUUUUAUAUAUAGAUUGAAUGAGUUUAAGUUAGAAAUUGGAUGAAUUUAGGUAUUAGAAAGUGGAUUGAAAUAAUUUUAAUUUAUCAUUUGUGCAAAAUUUGCAUUGUUAGUGUGUUAUAUAUUUGUAUUUGACUAUUUGCUUUUUUAAAGUUUGAGAUUGAAUGAGUUUAUUUGAUUAUUUUCUUUUUUUAAAUUUGCAUUGUUAGAGAAAUGAAAGAAAAAAUUGAAGAAAAAAAUUGAAGUUAUCACAUGCGGGUUUAGAAAGCCCGGAUCAAAACCCGGACCCGGAAGGUGCCGGGCUCAACCCCGGACCGCACCCGAAAAAAUUGGGUUUUAACCCGGGUUCGGUCUUGUAUUUCUCUCAUCCAGUCCCGGGCAACACCAAAACCCGGACCGGACCCAAAUUUUGUCAAGCCUAGUCUAUCAAUACUAUUUAAAAUGAGUAAUUCUAUGACGAAAUUUUGUAGCCAUAUUCCUUGAUUGGAUAUUUCGUAACAUGCUGUGAACUCCGCUGCUAUAGUAGAAAAGGCUAUAAGAGACUGUUUAGCACUCUUUCAGGAAACAACACCCCUAGCCAGUAGCUAGAUGUAACCAAAAGUAGAUUUCAUAUUAUCUUGGGAUCUAACAAAAUCAGAGUUAGCAUAAUGAUCUCAAGCUGAUCUAACUUUCGAUGUAGUCUUUUGUUCUCUGUAAGUAUCGCAAGACCCGUUUGGCUGUUUCCCAAUAGUUUACCCCUGGAUUACUUAAAUAUCUAUCCAACAUUCCAGUAAUGUAUGCAAUAUUCAGUUGCGUACAAACCUAAACAUACAUCAGACUUUCUAUUACUGAUGUAUAAGGAAUCUUCUACAUUUUUUAUUCCUUAAAAUCAUCAUUAGGGCACUAAUUGUGUAACAUCCAUUAUUUUUGUUUUAUUUAUUUAUUUUUUAUUAUUUUACUACUACUACUACUACUACUACUACUACUACUACUACUACUACUACUAUUAUUAUUAUUAUUAUAUCUAUUUUAGAGAAUAUAGUAUUUUAGGCUAAUGAUUUUAAGCGUGUUUUAAUUUUUCUUUAUUUAUUUGAUUUACCAAUUUAGUAAAUACCUUAUUAAAAAAGGAAAUAAAUUCCUAAAUAGGUAAGGGUGUUAAAAGGCUUGGCUUUAUAAAAGCUUCUCUUGCGUUGUUUUAUUUCUCAAAAUCCUAGAGGCUGAAUACAACAACACACACAAGAGUAAACCUUUUUUUUUUAAGAAGAGAAGUAGAUUUUGAUUGGUUUUUUUCUUUUCCAUAAAGAAAUUCUUGAGUUUUGAAUUUGUUUUGAAGGAUUUAGCCUUCUGGUUUUAUUUGUGAUUUUAUGUGAUUGAUUGAAUGAUUUUGUGUGUAUUACAUUGAUAAAAUUGUGAAAGCAUGAUCAUCUAUUGAUUUAUGUUGUUAUUGAGUGAAAGUGGUGCUAUUAUUUUAUCUUGAAAACAGUGAACAACAUAGAUUCAAUGUUUUAUGACUGCUGUUUUCAUUAAGUCUCAUGCAUAAAAUUUUAUAAUUUAUUAAACUAGACAUCUUUAUCUUUCUAUUUAUAUGUUUAUCGUUCAAAACUCAUUGUAUAUUAAUUUUUUUGAUUUUUCAAAAUUGGAACACUAGUGUUGGAAAAUUCCAAUUUUCAGCAGCAGUUCUCGUUACUAUAAUUUAUUUGGUAACUCAAACGAUUUCUGAAAAUUCUAGGAACGUUUUUCAUUUUACACAUAUAUGUCUAGUUUCUGUAUACUUAAAUUCCUAAUUUUUGGCUUUAUAUAAAAAUAAUUAAAAAUCAUAGAGCUAGGCUACCGUAAUAUUGGAAAUUGUUUUCUAGAAUUGCGAGGGUUGAUAUUGAAGCGAGUUUGGGUUACUUUUUCAUAGUGAAUGCUAGGGGUGGGCAAAAUACCCGACCCGAUCCGACCCGAAAAAAUUCGGGUUCGGGUCGGUUCGGGUUGUUAUUGAAACCCGAACGGGUGAAAAAUUGCAAACCCGAUCGGGUUGUGAUUGGGUCGGGUAAAACCCGAUCCGAUCCGAAUACCCGAUCGGGUCGCACAAAAAAAAAAAAUCACUAAACCUAUAAACACAUCACACAUGCACACACCAGACACCAGACACCACACACACGGCCAUGCAAAGUUACAACUCAAAAAGUCACAAAAACAAGUGGCUAAAAAAAUAUUGACAAAUAAAAAACAAAAUAUAAUUAUAACCCACGCACACAGGCCACAGCCACACACAAACAUUGAAACAUAUCUUCGCUGCCUUCACAGCCCUCAUCCCCACAGCCCUCAUCCUUACACUCACAACUUCACACACACACACAAAUAUCGCAAAAGCCAAAAGCAAAGCGGCAGCUAGCAGCCAACGCAGAGAAGAGAACGGAGGAAGCGCAGCCAGUGCAUGCAGCCACCUAACCCGUGACUGGAUCUACUGCUCCGCGACAUCCGUAGCUACCAGAUCUGCUGUUGCCGGAUAUCUACAGGAUCUGUUGCUGCUGGAUCCGCUGCGCUGCUAUCGGAUCUGCUGUUGCAGCCUCCACCAUCACCGAGUUCCACCGCGAAGGUGCGAACCGGCAACUCGAAUUCUUUUCUUUUUUUGAUGUUUUGAUGGGAUAUAAUAAUAUAUUAUAUAUUAUCUGUUAAUUGCUAAGUAUAUGUAUUGUUAAAUGUUAAUAAUAAAAUGAGGGAAAUUCUUGUAUGGAAAGUUUUGGAGUUUAAUUUAUUAAGUCUGUGGAAGCUUAAAUAAUAAGUAUGAAUUGAUUUCUUUUUUUUUGUUUUGUUUUUAAUGAAUAGAUUAAGCAAAUUAAGCAUUAAAAUUAAAUAUUUUGCAUUUGAUCUGUGCAAUGUUUCACCCGAUCCGAAUUAACCCGAAUUUAACCCAAUUAUUUGACCCGAUCCGAUCCGAUCCGAAUAUAUUCGGAUCGGGUUACAACUUCGGGUUGAGUUCGGAUGAAUUCUUUUCUAACCCGAUCAACCCGAAAUCCAAUCGGGUUGAUCCGAACCCGACCCGAACCCAAAAAUGCCCACCCCUAGUGAAUGCCUUAUAAAUUUAACUUUUAUAUUCAAUGCAAACGUGUUCACAAUAGUUUUUUGUAAUAUUUUUGAUUUUUCUGACAUAAUUAUAGCUUGUUAGAAAUUAACUCUUACAAGACGAUCGAGUGUAGUUUAGUGAAUUGAUGUGCUUUAGUAAGAGUAAAUGGUUUAAGGAUAUUUUGGCUUUCUUAUCAACGUCAAAAUUGAAAAAAAAAAUUGAUAAGAAUCUUAUCUUGAUAAUUAUAGGCCAAGAACGAGCUCGUGUGAUUGGGGUUAUUGUUGAUUGCUUCGUAUUGAGUUAAGUGAACUCAUGCAUAAUGUUUAUUAUAGUUAUAUAUGUAAAUAUCUAGAAAAGAAUAAUGUUAUUCAUAUAAAUUGACAUUUUAUGGUUUUGAAGUUAUUUUACUCUUAUAUUUUAUGAUAAUAAAUAAUGUUUUGAUUAAAACUUUAUUUAAAAUAUUUUCUUAAACUAUUUAAAAAAUAACUUUAAAAUAAUUGUCUUUCCAUAAAUUGGUCUUCCUUAAAAAUAUUUGUUAAGCUUGCCAAUUCAAUGUCUUAUAAGAGCAUUUUAUCAUAAUAUUACUGAAUGAUUGAUAUUGAAAGACUGAAAUUGUAUUUAAGAUUUUGGCUCAUUAACCGUAGUUAUUGUUGCUGAUAUAACCGAACAUUUAACUAUAUUGUGCGCACCUAUUGAUGAUUAUAGUUGGGUAACGUACCCUAAUUGAACUACUAACCGAGUCAUCGGGGUUAUAGGUGACUUACUAAACUAAUACCGGGUCAUUAGGGUUAUAGGUGACUUAUUGAACCACUGGCCGGGUCACCGGAAGUACAGGCGACACUAUAUGACAUGAGCAAUUGAAUAAAUGAAUGGUUAUAUUGAUAAAUGAUUUCCGAAAUGAUUAUUUAUUAAAAAUGGUUAUUACAUUAUGAUUUAACUAAUUAUAAGUUUUAAUGUACACUUAUGGUACUUUAUAAUGAUUGUUUUGUAUUUUAUCGUUAUUAGUAACCUUAUGCAUGAGUUAGUGUUGAGUGUUAGAAAAUGCAUAUUUAUAAAGGAGAAAAUUGUCAUUUUACAUUUCAUGUCUUACUAACAGCCCUUACUUUUAUGUAUUUAAGCUUCUUGUAAUUUAAUUAUGUGUGUUUUAUUUUAAUUAAGUAUUUUAUGUAUUUUAGGGGCAUCAUGGUCAUUUCACAAUAAACGAGAGAUCAGACGGCAAAAUGGACAUCACUUUUGAACUCAGGACGGUUGAAAAUCUUAGGAGGAGCAUAAAAGGAAAAAUGACACUGUUCACAUGUACGGUACUGUCUAUGUUACUAUUCACGACACUGUUCACAUAGACGGAUCGAUGAUGUGGCAUUGACCGAUGAUGUGGCAUUGACUGAUGAGGUGUCACGAUCCUGUUGGACUAAAAUUCUUAUGCACUGUUGAUUGAUGACGUGGCAGCAUAUCAGUGGACCAAAAAUCUCGCGUACGGUACAUGCAUUAUACAGGAUUAUUUUCAACCAAACUGAGUCACUGUUCAACUCGGGGCAAACCGUGUUACUGUUCAUCCAAGUGGUCAAACCGCAUACUGUUGACUGAUAACGUGGCGCAAUCCUGAGCGUCCAAACUGUUUUUAAUCCGAUGGCCACGAUUUACUUAAUGUAUCUACAAAAAGGGGGCCUCCCCUCUAAUUUGAUACCUCUGAAUCCAUUUUUUGGAUCCAUUUUCUAUAAUUCCUUCUCCAUCUUGUAUUUUCUACGUAUUUUAAUAAAUUUCUAUUUUGCCCCUAGUUCAAUUAUGAGUAACUAAUUUUCUUUCAAGCUUGGGUUGAAGGUGAAGUCUCAACAUGUGUCAUGGGCUUUAUUUGGUAAAUUUAUUUUCUCUUCCCCUCUAGUUUUUGUGGAUGUUUUGACUUCUCGUCGAUAAAUAAUAAUAAUAUUGUUUAGUACCGCCUUGGUUUCACCGGCUCCCUAAUACAAAGUUAUUAUUAUUUGGCACGAUAAGCCCUUAGCACCAUAUUGAUUAGAGCGUAGUUCAUGAGGUGUGAAUUCCCCCCUCAUGAUUUAAUUGGUAUUAAUAAGGAAUAUUUAGCCCAUGGUGCAUUUGAUAUGAAUUCAAAUACCCAAGUACGUCAAUUUAAUAGAUUUUCACUUUAAUUUCUUCUCGCCAUUUCAAUUCCAAUUUUUAGGAUAAUUUAAAUCACUUCCACCACAAAUCCAACCACCUCAUACAAAAUUAAUUCUAUAUAUAAUUAAAAUCCACCUCCUCGUGAGAUCGACACUCGUCACUAUUAGUCUAUUAUACAAUAGAUUCGUAAGCUUGCGAGUUCAAUAAAAUUUGCACAACAAGUUUUUGGCGCCGUUACUGGGGAGGUAAGUUAUUUUAAUUUGUAGAAUUAAUUUUUGUCAAUAAUUUCUUUUAUUUGUUUUCUUUUUUUUUCUUAUUAAAAAAAAGGGAAAAAAGAGAGUGAAUUUGCAUUGAGAGAUUAGUAUUUCUUUUCUUUUUCUCUUCUUUAAAAUUCUGUAAUUUAAUUUUCAAGUUAUUUUUUUCUUCUUUGUAAUUUUUGUUUAUCUUACUAAUUUUUUUAAGUUAAUUUAUUUCACGUAUUUUUUUGUGUGUAUUUUUAUAGUAAGGUUGUAAUAGCGCGAUAAGGUUAGUAUCGUAAUUUCUCCCUCUUCUUUAUUUUUAUUUGUUUUGUUCCCAUCUUUAUUUUUAUUUUAUUUGUUUUACAUGCAUAGUCGAAGAUCAUUAUUACCUAAUCUUAAACCUAUAGACCUGGAACUAGAAAAAAUACUUCGCACACACAAGCACGUUAAAAAUAAAUUUGGAAUGGAUUUACAAGUACCACAAGAGAGGCCAUUUAAGGACUAUUUUAGUCCUUUAGCUAAUUUGAGCACAUCAUGUAUAAGAUACUCAAAUGUAGCUGCUACGAGUUUUGAACUAAGACCUAGUCUGCUAAAUUGUCUCCCAACAUUCUAUGGCCUAGAAAAUGAGGACCUUUAUAAUUAUUUGAAUGAUUUUCAUACUAUUUGUCAAACAUUUAAAUAUGAGAAUUUUUCAUAUGAUGAUGUAAAACUUAGACUAAUCCCAUUUUCUUUAAAGGAUAGAGCUCGUUCAUGGUUUAAUAUAUUGCCUGCUAAUACCAUUUCAUCAUGGGAACAAAUGGUAACGAAAUUUUUAAAUAAAUAUUUCCCAGUGCAUAAAACUAAUGCUAUUCGCAGGGAAAUUUCAAAGUUUACCCAUAGAGAAGAUGAGCAGUUUUUCGAAACAUGGCAGUAAUUUAAUGGGCUACUCUUGAAGUGUCCACAUCAUGGGUACGAGAAAUGACACCAAUGCCAAUACUUUUUGGAGGGAUUGUUGCUGAAUGUGUAAGAAUGACUAAUGGCAACAAGUGGAGGAGAGCUAAUGUCAAAAAGUGCAUCAGAGAUUUGGGAAUUCUUCUAGCGACAAGUGGAUAAUUCCCAACAACGGAGUCGAUCACUCAGGAAUACUAGAAGAAUUAAGGGAGUGAAUGAGGUUCACAUUGACGAGUCAACUUCAGGAAUCAAAGAAGUCAAGGAGAUGGUUGAAGGUAUCGCUCGACAAAUAGCAUCAUUAUCGACUGCUAAAUCAACAGAGCCACAUGACCAUGACUCAUACUCAGAUCAAGCCAAUACCAUAGGUGUAAUGAGAAGCCAUCAAAUUACAACCCAUACUCCAACACAUAUAACCCAGGAUGGAGAGACCACCCCAAUUUUUUAUGGUCUCAAGGAUUCCAACAGAAUGAAGCAGCAGCUCCAGCUCCACCAAUGCAACGAAUUCCUCAAGUUCCUCAAGCCUCUCAGCCACCAUUUAGACCAUACAAUCAGAACCAGAACUACUCUCAACCCAGACCAUGGGAGGAUGCAUUCCAGAAUUUCAAGAAUGUUACUCACUCUACGAUUGAGCAACAGAACCGCACCAUUGAUAGACUACGAAAUGAGUUGAGAGCAGGUUUCAACUCACAAGCCCAAUCAGUUUCAAGCCUUGAGAAGAUGGUGGGACAACUUGUUUCUUCAGUUCAGACCUUGGCAAUGACCGUUGAGAAAGGUAAAUUUCCAAGUCAACCAGUGCCUAAUCCUAAAGGAGUACAUGAUGCAAGUACUAGUUCACCACAGCAGCAUGGAGAGGUAAAAGUUGUCAUGACUUUGUGAAAAGAAAAAGAAGUCGACAACAAAGUGGAGAUGUAGGUGAUAAAAGAAAAUCAAAUUGUACCUGUAAAUGUUGAGGACUCAUCACCGGAGGAGAAAGAAGAAACGAACCUACGAGAAUAUGUUCCUAAAUCUCCAUUUCCUCAGAGGUUAGUAAAAGGAAAAAAGGAAAAAUUCACAGGUGAGAUUCUUGAAAUCUUCAAACAGGUAAGUGUUAACAUCCCUUUGUUUGACGCUAUAAAACAAGUUCCAUCUUAUGCUAAGUUUCUUAAAGACCUUUGUAUUAAAAAGAGAAACAUUCAUGUUCAAAAGAAGGCAUUUUUGACAGAAAACGUUAGUUCUAUACUCCAACAUAAAAUUCCUCUAAAAUGCAAAGACCCAGGCUCCCCCACUAUCUCAUGUAGUAUAGGGAACCACACAAUUGAAAAUGCUUUGUUGGAUUUAGGAGCUAAUGUAAAUCUGUUGCCUUAUUCAGUUUUCGUGAAACUUGGAUUGAGAGAAUUACACCCAACUCCAGUGGGGUUGCAGCUUGCAGAUCGGUCCACGAAAAUACCUCGUGGCAUUAUGGAAGACGUGCUUAUCCAGGUAGACAAGUUUUAUUUUUCUGUUGAUUUCAUUGUAAUUGACACUCAACCAAUUCAGGAUUCAAGGAAGCACAUCCUCAUUAUUCUAGGCCGACCUUUCUUGGCAACUGCAAAUGCUCACAUUCAAUGCAGGACUAGAAAUAUGCAGUUGUCCUUCGGCAACAUGACUAUGGAGCUGAACAUCUUCAACAUUGCCAAAUAACCUCACAAUGCAGAUGAUAAAAUUGUUGAUGCGGAUUUAAUAGAAACAUUAGUUGAUAAUACCUUUGUUUCAAACCUUAGUGAUGACCCUUUACAAACAUGUUUAACUCAUUUUGGUUUGGAUUUUGAUAUUGACAGAUCAGUCGAUGAGGUCAACGAAUCACCGUUUAAUUCCAGAAACGAGAUUAUGUGUCUGUCCGUUUACCCUUUCACCGUUUGCCACAAUCGGUGAACCGUUUUUCAACAGAGAGUCCUCUAACAGUUACUCCUUAGCCGUUAAGCGCUUAGGCUUUCACCGUUUCCCUUUCUUCAGCCUCUGGAAGUUACCCUUUAACCGUUUUCGCGAAGUCUAAAAUCUGUUCAAAGGUUUUCUUCUCCUUCUCCAGUUACCCUUUCACCGUUUCCUCCAUUGUUGCGCAGCCGAAGGUUUCUUUGUCCUCAAAUCCUCAUUUUUUCUUGCUUUCCUUGCCAAAUCAAACCUUCAAAAUUAUUUCUUAUCACCUUUAGAACAAUUCUACCGAUUCAAAACUUCAAAUCGAGCCCAAAAUUAAAAAAUCCCAAAUCUAAACCCUAACUGUCGCGGGUCGGGUUUCUUCAUUCUUAAUCCGAUUUCCACAUUUCUUCAACCAAAUUGAACAUCCUACUCACAUCCUCUACUCUUCUUUAAACCUUUUAUCGAUUUACUUUCGUCCCAUUACGUGUUUCCAUGGCUGAACCCUCUCGGAGAAAUCCCAGGCGUAAAUCUGUGCCCCCAAUGAAUCCCAUACCACCUCGGGAGGUCUCUGAGUUUUCAAGGAUUCACUUCCCCACACCUGCCUUGGCUAAGCGGUUCGAAGAUCGCUUUGAUGGUCGAAAGGUACUUGAUCCUUUUUUUGUUGAUAUUGAUAAUUUCCGCAACUUAGUUGUAUGUGGUAGAAGCAUUAGGGAUAUGCUUCAGCCUUGGGAGGCUGCCAUUGAUUUUGAUGACCGAGUUUAUCCAAACUUAGUGCGAGUCUUUUAUUCGAACAUGGAAAUCUCCGACACUCGCCUAAAUAGGAUAGUUACUCAUGUCGGCCGUGUGCCAAUAGAGUUUGAUGAUGCGGACCUAGCUGACCUUCUUGGUAUCUCUUGUGAGGGGCUUGAUAUUUACACCUCUAGGAAAGCCCUCUCCUUUGAUAGUUUUUCUCAUACUCAUGGCGUCCGUAAUAUAUGUCGUCGUCAAGACUUAUCGGAUGAGAUUUGUUUGCUUCCGUUUCGGUCUCAACUUUUACCUCUCCAAGUUCGUAUUCUUCACACUAUUUUACAGCACAUAGUGACUCCUAGGAAGGGUCACUCGGAUGAGGUUACGAGGUUGGACGUUCCCUAUUAGAUAGCCUUCUUACAGACCGUCCCAUUAACCUCGGGUAUAUUAUUGUGCGACAUAUGUUGAGUACUCCAGCGAUCAACCAUCGCUUGCUUCCUUAUGGCAGUAUCAUCACUAAAAUACUGCGACGCUUUGAGGUGCCACUUCUUGAUAUUGGACAUAUGGAGACUCGACGGAUUGGUUCCGAGGCCAUGACCAGUAUCGGAUUCUCUAGAAAGAAUGGAGUGUGGAUAAAGACAAGCAACUCCAAAAACCGGGAUACCUUGAUUGCUCCAGAGGACGAUCGGAUGCUCAAUGAUGUCUAUUCUCCCGAUCAGCUUCUUGACUUUAGAUUAGGAGCUCAUCCUCAUCCUCCGCGUCGCCAUUUUUUCCCUCGGCCUCCAGCUGACUCAGACUUUGAGGAGCGUGCGAUGGAUGCUGAUAUUCCCUCCUCUUCCGAGCCGCCUCCUGCUCCUGAGCCUUAUGCUGUUCCCGAGCAGCCAUCUGCCUCUAUGCCGCCUCCAGCUCCAGUUCAGCCCCUUGCUUCAGAUGCAGUGCAGCAGCUGAUUACUGAUGUUCAGCGGAUUUCGGAGCGACAGCAGCUGAUUCUUGAUCGGUUGGACAUCAUUUCCCGUGAUCACCAGCAGCUCCGCUCUGACUUUCAGAUUUUCCAGCAGCAGAGCAUUGACCAGUAGCUCAAGCUUAUCGCCGGACAGCGCACUCUUCUCAGCUAUUUCGGCUAUGAUCCGGGGAGCACAUCUUCUCCGCCUCCAUAGUUUCUGAGUUCUGUUUUCGCACAUACAUUUUUCCAUUUUGGUUGUUAGCUUUUUCAUACUUCGUAUAUGGAUUUUGAUGCAUAUGUGUGUGAUGUUCUUGAUGAUUAGAUGAUUGAUGCUUUGUGAUUGAAUAAUUGUUGGUAUGUUUGUGGAUAUUGAAGUGUUCUUUUGUUUUGAUCAUGGAGUUGUUGGCUUGUUGAAAGAAGAAGUUGGUGUCAAUCUAUUUUUUGAAGUGUUCUAUCUCAUUUUGUAUAAGUGGUUUUGAUCAUUUUUAAGGGGAAACUCUGCCAAAAUUUUCGCUCGCCAAAGCCGGGCAACUUCUUUAAUGGAUUUGUGUAUUUCUUAUUUCUUCUUUUCUUUUUGAUGAUGAAGGGGGAGAUAAUUAUGGUUUUUAAGAUGGUUUUUAAAUGGGGAGAUAUUAUUUUAAGAUGGAUUUAAAAUGGGGAGAUUUAAAGAAAAAAUCCUUUUAUUCAUAUUUCUCAAUUUGUCCAUACAUGUAGGGGGAGCACAUAUUAAGGGGGAGCUAAACAUUGAAUGAAAUUUGUCAUCAUAAAAAAUGGGGAGAUUGUUAACAUAAAUAUGUUAAUAAUAUUGAUUUUGAUGAUAACAAAUUUUAUAUGGUUUUUGACAAAAAUAUUGGAGAUAUUUCUUAAUAAACGAAAGCCCUUUUAUUCAUUGCCUUAUUUUUUCAUAAAAGAUGGACUUUCAAAUUAGAAAGAGAUUCUCUACAAAAAAAAAAACUCGUUUAAAAUUGCAAUUCUGGUUAUAAACGGUUAACCAUUUUAAACGAUUAAAGGCAGAGAGCAACAUAUUUCCUAAACCUUUAACCGUUUAUGAAAAACGGAAAACACAAAAGAUGGGAAGGUUACUGGAACUUAACGGUGAACCGUUUAUUUUAAACGGUUAACCGAUUAACACCAGAGAGCGACAUAAUGCCUAAAGCUCUAACCGUUUAUGAAAAAUGGAAAUCACCAAGAAUGGAAAGGCUACUGGAACUUAACGGUGAACCGUUUAUUUUAAACGGGUAACCGAUAAUGUCCAGAAUUGAAGGUUGUCCUCCUCUGGCACUGAUUAACGAAAAAUGAUAAGGCUAAAUUAUUUUGCAGGUUACUGGAGACAAACGGCGAACUGUUUAUUUCAAACGGUUAACCGAUAAUAUCCAGAAACGUUACUUCACGCAAGUUCUUAACCGUUUAGCGUAAACGGAUAACAAAUGCUCAUCUUGCAGGUCUCUGGUAGUUAACGGCUAAAGGUUAAUUACAAACGGCAAACCGUUUAUUUGAAAUCUAGCCCAACGGUAACUUUGACCAACCGAAACGGUUAACCGUUUAGGGUUAACGGCGAACCAUUUUCUGUCCGACAGUUUGUAACGGCUAGAUUUUCAGCUCCAGAUAUAAAUAAGCUCAUUCAAAUUCAAAGAAGGUUGAUCACAACACGACCAUUUUGAGCUAAUAUUCGAGAAUGCAAUCUUCAUAGAGCUUAGAACACAUUAUUGCUUCAUCUAUUCACAUAUUAAGCAUCAUUGUGUAAUCUUAUAUAUUGUGAGAGGUAAAACAGUUUGUAAUCUUUUACUUUGAGUGAUUGUAAGUGUUGGGAUACACUUGGGUUAAGAGAUUGGGGAUAAUCUCUUGUUGUAAAGGUCCAUUGACACCUUGGAAGUCAAGUGUAAGCAUUUGAAGCCUUGGAGGCUUGCUUAGUGGAAUCCUCAAGCCCGGAAAGCUUGGAGGCGUGGACGUAGGCGAGGUUGGCCGAACCACGUAAAAAUCUCGGUGUUUGAAUCCCUCUUCCCUUAUCUUUUUAUAUUGUGAUCAUCUUAAUUGUUAUUGCUUUGAAUUUGAUUUAUAAUUGCAUUAAGAUUUUCUUUAAUAAAUUGAAUAAUUUUUUAGAAUCCCAAUUCACCCCCCCUCUUGGGUUGCAUACUUGUAUUUCAUAUUUUCCACAUAUACCGGUAUAGUCUCUGACUUUUCUUUUACACUGCUAUCAUCUUCAUCUCUCGUUUGCAGUUGAUCUUCUAUAAAGAUAACAUCUCUGCUGAUGAUGAUCUUGUGGGCAGUGGGGUCCCACAGACGAUACCCUUUUACUCCAUCAGCAUAUCCCAAGAAGAUACAUCUUCUAGAUUUUGGAUCCAGUUUUGUUCUUUCUUGGGCAUUGUACAUCACGUACACAGGACAUCCAAAUGCAUGUAGGUAGGAAUAAUCAGCUGGCUUUCCAGUCCACAUCUCCAUCGCUGUCUUCAGCCCAAUAGCUGUAGAUGGCGACCGAUUUACUAUAUAACAAACAGUUUUGGCUGCUUCUGCCCAAAAUGAAUUGGGUAGACCAGCAGUCCUCAACAUAGCUCUUAUUCUUUCUGUAAGAGUUCUGUUCAUCCGCUCCGCCACUCCGUUUUGUUGAGGAGUGUAUGCUACAGUGAACUGUCUCUGAAUACAUUCUUGCUUACAGAAAGCAAGAAACUCGCCGUCUGUAUACUCUCCACCAUUAUCCGUCCUCAAUUACUUGAUCUUUUUACCAGAUUCAAGUUCCACCCGCGCUUUGUAUUCUUUAAACACUGGAAAUACAUUUGACUUUUUUUUAAUUGGAUACACCCAACAUCUUCUGGAAUAAUCAUCAAUGAAAGUCACCAUGUACUUUGCACCUCCCAUGGAUAUAUCCGGUGAUUCCCAAACAUCAGAAUGAAUCAAGUUUAGAAUGCAUUUACUUCUAGCAAUAGAUCUACUAAAUUUUAAUUUAUGCUGCUUACUUGUAACACAAUGCUCGCAAAAUGGUAAACUUACCGAUUUGAGCCCCGGAAGCAAUUUUCGCUCAGAGAGAAUCUUCAAGCCUUGUUCUGACAUGUGGCCAAGUUUGAGAUGCCACAUCAUCGUUGACUCUUCUCCAUUUGAUGCGACACACGCAUCAGCCUCCUGUAGUGUUUCUCCUUUAAGCAUGAAUAGAUUAGCACUGAUCUUUUCUGCAUUCAUCAAUACAAGCGCGCCUUUAACGAUCUUCAUAAUUCCAUUCUCCACAUGAGUUUUGUACCCAUGACUAUCCAUUUGUCCCAAAGACAAAAGAUUUUUCUUCAGGCCGUUGACAUGGCGUACCUCCCCAAUUGUGCGAAUUGUACCAUCAAACAUUUUUAUUUUGAUAGUACCAAUACCAGCGAUCUCCAAGGCAUGAUCAUUACCUAUAUAUACAGAUCCUCCUGAGAUAGGUUCAUAUGUGUGGAACCAUUCUCUCCGAGAGGUCAUGUGCCAGGUAGCUCCUGAGUCUAUAAGCCAGACAUCAGAUAGUCGUUUUCUGCCUUUUGAAACAAUUGUUGCCUCGCUGUAAAGAAUUUCGCCAUCAUCCGAGGUACUUGCUAUACACCCUUGAGCAUUUGAUGACUCAGGUUUUUUGCCCUCUUUUCUCUUCUGGUUACUCCAACACUCUUUCUUGACGUGCCCUUUCUUGCCACAGUUGUAGCAUUUAACAUUCUUCUUACUUCUGGAUUUUGAUCUACCAUGAUUUUGACUCCCACUAGGGCCACGUUCCGUUGAUCUCCCUCUCGUCACCGAUAGCGCCUCCGUUUGCUGUGAACUUACUUGUCUGUUUUCCUUAUUUUUUCGCCUGCUCUCCUCAUUUAAUACGGAGGCUGCAACAUCGUCAAAAACUAGACUGUCCACUGGAUUAUUGUUCGUCAGGUUGAUGAUGAGUUGAUCAUACGAAUCUGGUAGACUUUGAAGUAGAAGCUCUGCACGUUCAUUUUCCUCUAUAUUAUGACCCAACGUUGUGAGUUGUGAAAAUAGAGUCUUCAAGGUGUUGAUGUGGUCGGUCACCAUUGUAGAUUCCGCCAUUCGAAGAGUAUAAAGUUUCCUCUUCAAGAAAAUUUUGUUGUGUAGUGACUUGGCCUCGUACAAUUUUGUGAGAGUAUCCCAAAUUUCCUUCGUUGUGUUUUUCUCUGCCACACUGGAUAAUACUCCGUCUGCAAGUGCCAAGUGUAGAUCAGAAAUGGCGUUGCCGUCUACCUCGUUCCACUUGUCAUCAGUUAUCUCCAUGGGCCUUUCUCCAAUUGCUGCCAAGCAAUUAUUUUUCCUCAAUACAGCUUUCAUCUUCAUUUUCAACAAUGAAAAAUUAUUUCCGUUAAACUUCUCAAUUUCAUACUUUGCCACCAUUUUGUUGAUAAAUACCGCACACAAGCUAGUGUACCACCUUGAAUAGUUGUGAGUAUGUGUGAGAAUGCACACCAGGAAAGUUCCCAGGAAAGACUGGAGGGGUCACAAUGGUCCCACUUAAAACCCAGACUCAUUAAGCUCUUAUCGCCUUUGUGAUAGAACUUUCCUAGACAUGUACAAAACCACACAGUUGCUAUUACUCACACCACUAUUCUCUGCUUUGCAUCACAAAAUUCUUGGAUCGCUUCCACCGUUUCUUGUGAAUAGUACCGUAUACGUGAACAUUACCGUUUACGUGAAUAGUACCCCUUACGUGAACAGUACCCGACUCCAAAAAUACAACCAAUAGCUCUGAUACCACUGUUAGGAAAUUGGUAGGUGAAGCAGACACGCAGCUAGAAUAAAAUUGAAAGAAAAAUAAAGAACAAGUACAAAAAAUGGACACCAGAAAUUACGUGGUUCGACUUUUAGCCUACAUCCACGGGCGAAGACAGAAGGAAAUAUUUUACUAGUGAAAAGGAGUUACAAGUAUUGUAGUAUUUUAGCUCACUUCCCAAAAUCCCAAUACACCCAAACUCUCAGAACACUAAUCACUCAAGAGUUUAUUAAACUCUUAAUACUCUCAACACUAAAAGAAAGCAAUAUUUCUCUCUCGAUGGAAUUGGAUACAAGCUCUAGAUUGAGAGCUUGUAUUUAUAGGCAAAAAUUUGCCUCAAAUGUCAAACAAGUGGCCAUAAACUUCAAGCCAUACAUCUUAAAAAUUUCAAACUUUGAAUUUUUAGCUUUGAAUUUUUCUUUUCUUUUACCAAACAUUACGGCAUCUAGAAUUUCAAAGCCAAGUGCCAACCAUUCUUGUUUAUUCAAAGCUUCUAGAUGCAGCCAAUUUUGACAAUUACACAUAUAUAAGAGUAUGUCGUCAGGUCCAUACUAGUAUUUUUACACAAGCGGUCACCUCAAUUGCUUUAGGAGCAAGAUGAGAUGAGACAAGUAGAAUAAUAAAACAAUAUUUUUGUGUGAGAGCCAAAUAAAAAGCGUUAUUCUACAAGUUUUUUUGCCUUGACUAGAAUCAAGAGGUCUCACACGAUUUUCAUUAUAGACUGACUAUGAUAUACCCCACCAUCAUGGAGACUUCAUUGAAGCCAGAUGUGAGAUCUUUACUUUUUACGCUAGAAGAGAGCGUUCAUUCUAAAAGAGUGACUAGACUAAGAUCUAUAGUCCUGGAAUGGAAAAUUUAUCGUAACGAGUGUAUCAUACCAUGCGUGCUUGGUAAUCAAAAUGGAAAAUGAAAGAAUCUUCAAUCUUUCUAAUUGUGUAAGUUCCAUAUAACUUUUUAUAAGUCAAUCCUGGUAUCAUCUUCUUCUCUUCUUCGUGAAGAUUAAAAUUAAGAACAUUGAACAAUCCAUAAAAAGGGCAUUUAUACUGUGAUUAGAUAAGGAUUUCCGCUUGCGAUUUCUUCUGACCAUUAACAUGAUCCAGUACUCGAUUACUCCGCUGCUGAAUUCAAUAAGAAAAAUAUUUCUAGAAUUUUCAUUUUUCCUUCAGACCAUGUAAGAAGCAUACGAACAGGAUGAUCCGGAGUCAAAAGGUGAACGAGGUGACGGCUCGUCCGUUAGUACUAUUAAUGUAUAAGGUAAUAUGGGAAUUACUAAUAAUUAAUCGACUAGCUGAUUUGUUAGUUAUGAUUAUCAAUGACGGUCUAUUUCCUGCCCAUAUUUUACCAUGCUGUUGAAUGGUCCCCUUAAAAUAAUCCAGAUCAGUCAUUUGCAUAAAAAUAUAUCAUGAGCGGUUAGGUGGAGGAUGCUGAUUUGUUAGAAAAUAAUUGUUUUCAACUCUUGCGAUUGUCUGCACCCUGCACUCUUGUUCCAAAACCAAUACAAAACUGUAGCAAUCUUAAGAGGAUUUGUGGAACAAAAGAUGGCCAAGAUUGGAGGUUCUCUGCUUGUUCCUUGUGUUCAAGAGUUGGUCAAGAAUCCUAUGUUAGUUGUCCCUCCUAGAUACAUUUGUCCGGACGAAGAUUCACCACUCAAUUCUGAUGAUACUUUGAUUUCACAGAUACCAGUUAUUGACAUGCAGAGCUUGCUUUCUGAAGAAUCAAUGGAUUCUGAGUUAGCCAAGCUCGACUUCGCUUGCAAAGAAUGGGGUUUUUUCCAGGUAAAAUGCUUUAGCAGAGUUAGAAAGAUUUUUCAUGCUUGUCUGUGAUUUAAGAAUCAUGAAAUCUGCAAAACUCUCAGUCACAAAAUAUCUAUUUUUGAAACCCAGUUUCCAUUGAUUUAGCAUGUCAUGAUUUCAAAUUUUCCCAUCUAGUCCUUUUGCUGCUUUCAGUGCUUCUACGACUGCAGCUUGUGAAAUGUCAAGGAAGUUGUCUCUUGUUUUAUUGUACAAUUUAUGAGGCGAUAUGAGAAGAAAACACUCACCAUUUAUUUCUGAAACCCAGAUUCCAUUGAUAUAUUUGUUUUUGACUUGCUUUAUUACUUUACCUUUCCAUAUAGCCAUAGAUUUGUUAGUAUAAUUUGUAUUAAAAGAUGCCCAUGACAAAGUUCACCUAUUUUGUCUCAAUAGCUUUUGGUAGCUUAUGAGAAAUAUGCUUCUGUCAAUAUGUGAUUAAAGAUAUAGUAAAUUGUAUAAGACUCCCGCAGAUUAUUAGCUGUUCUAGAAUAUUCAAAUUUCUCCAAAACUAUGAGUAAAAAACACUUGUAAAAAUCAAUCAUUGAUUAGAUUUAUAAACAAAAUAAAAUUGGUGUUUAAUGCAACAGCAAUGUUCUCAGUUGAAAUGUAACAAAUGCUUUUAGCCAUCUUUGAUAGCAAAUCUUGUCUCUAAAUUAGUCAAAUAAGUUGCAAUCUGUCUUCAUAAAACGCCUGGACGAUUGUGAACCUAGUGGCACGAUUAUCAAAUCUUAGCUGCUGUUCAUUCCUGCGUAAUUUCAGCUGGUAAACCAUGGAGUAAGCUCAGCAUUUCUAGAGAAAGUGAAGAAAGAGGUUAAGGGCUUCUUCAAUCUCAGCAUGGAAGAAAAGAAAAAAUAUUGGCAGCAUCCAGGAGAUGUAGAAGGAUUUGGACAAGCCUUUGUUGUAUCUGAGGAACAAAAGCUUGAUUGGGCUGACAUUUUCUCCAUGAUCACUCUUCCAGUUCAUCUGAGGAAGCCACACUUAUUUCCUAAGCUCCCUCCUUCCCUCAGGUUCUCUCUUUUUGUGGUUGAUAUGGAUUUGCAAACAAAAAGGGAAAAUUAAACCUUCUAUGAUUCUAUCUAAUGUUUUACCUUCUUUUUUCUUGUAGAGACACCUUGGAAGUUUACUCGAUGGAGUUAAAAUCUCUGGCCAUGAACCUGAUAUCGAAAAUGGGAAAAGUUUUAAAUAUCAAAGAUGAAGAAUUGAGAGAAUUCUUUGACAAUGGUUUCCAAUCAAUGAGGAUGAACUAUUACCCUCCAUGUCCUCAGCCAGAAAAGGUUAUGGGCCUCACCCCUCAUUCUGAUGGCUCUGCUCUUACCAUUCUGCUACAAAUCAAUGAAGUAGAAGGUCUCCAGAUCAAGAACGAUGGAAAAUGGAUUCCUAUCACACCGCUGCCAAAUGCUUUCAUUGUCAACAUCGGAGACACAUUGGAGGUAAUAAUUAUGAUUACUUUCCUUGGCAUUUUUAUGUCCCUUCUCAUGUGCUCUAAUAUUUUUAACAUUGCAGAUUAUGACCAAUGGGACAUACCGUAGCAUUGAACAUCGUGCAAUUGUGAACUCUAUACAAGAAAGACUUUCCAUUGCCACAUUUUACACAAAGAGAUUAGAUGGUGAAAUAUAUCCAGCAUCCAGUUUGAUAUCUGAAAAAACUCCUGCAUUGUUUCGAAGAGUGACAGUUGAAGAAUAC